GAUGAACGCUGGCGGUAUGCUUAACACAUGCAAGUCGAACGCAGACUUUCGGGUCUGAGUGGCGGACGGGUGAGUAACGCGUGAGAAUCUGGAUUCAGGUUGGGGACAACCACGGGAAACGGUGGCUAAUACCCAAUGUGCCGUUAAGGUGAAAGAUUAAUUGCCUGAAGAUGAGCUCGCGUCUGAUUAGCUAGUUGGUGGGGUAAGAGCUCACCAAGGCGACGAUCCGUAGCUGGUCUGAGAGGACGAUCAGCCACACUGGAACUGAGACAAGGUCCAGACUCAUACGGGAGGAAGCAGUAGGGAAUCUUGAGCAAUGGGGGAAAGCCUGACGGAGCAACGCCGCGUGAGUGAUGAAGGUCUUCGGAUCGUAAAACUCUGUUAUUAGGGAAGAACAAAUGUGUAAGUAACUAUGCACGUCUUGACGGUACCUAAUCAGAAAGCCACGGCUAACUACGUG
rnacentral:rRNA from 1 species